rnacentral:tRNA from 1 species
UCCCUGGUGGCUCAGAUGGUAAAGAAUCCACCUGCAAUGUGGGAGACCUAGGUUCAAUCCCUGGGCUGGGAA